GAUCCUACGGGACGCAGCAGUGAGGAAUAUUGGUCAAUGGCCGAGAGGCUGAACCAGCCAAGUCGCGUGAGGGAUGACGGCCCUACGGGUUGUAAACCUCUUUUGUCGGGGAGCAAGACCCGCCUCGUGCAGGCGGAGCGAGAGUACCCGAAGCAAAAGCAUCGGCUAACUCCGCGCCAGCAGCCGCGGUAAUACGGAGGAUGUGAGCGUUAUCCGGAUCUAUUGGGUUUAAA
rnacentral:rRNA from 1 species